AUUGAACGCUGGCGGCAUGCCUUACACAUGCAAGUCGAACGGCAGCACGGGAGCAAUCCUGGUGGCGAGUGGCGAACGGGUGAGUAAUAUAUCGGAACGUGCCCGGUCGUGGGGAUAACGUAGCGAAAGCUACGCUAAUACCGCAUACGAUCUACGGAUGAAAGCGGGGGAUCGCAAGACCUCGCGCGAUUGGAGCGGCCGAUAUCAGAUUAGGUAGUUGGUGAGGUAAAGGCUCACCAAGCCGACGAUCUGUAGCUGGUCUGAGAGGACGACCAGCCACACUGGGACUGAG
rnacentral:rRNA from 1 species